UUUCGGUGAAGAAAAUCAUCGUGAGGAAACCGGACUAAUCCUAAUAAGGUCUAGCCUAGUUUACCCUCUGGGUUGGAAGGUCAGAUGGCAGUCGCUUUCGUAAAA